rnacentral:rRNA from 1 species
CCUACGGGAGGCAGCAGUGGGGAAUAUUGGACAAUGGGCGCAAGCCUGAUCCAGCCAUGCCGCGUGAGUGAUGAAGGCCUUAGGGUUGUAAAGCUCUUUUAUCCGGGAAGAUAAUGACUGUACCGGAAGAAUAAGCCCCGGCUAACUUCGUGCCAGCAGCCGCGGUAAUACGAAGGGGGCUAGCGUUGCUCGGAAUCACUGGGCGUAAAGGGCGCGUAGGCGGAUGAUUAAGUCGGAGGUGAAAGCCCAGGGCUCAACCCUGGAAUUGCCUUCGAUACUGAUCAUCUCGAGAGUGGUAGAGGUAAGUGGAACUCCGAGUGUAGAGGUGAAAUUCGUAGAUAUUCGGAAGAACACCAGUGGCGAAGGCGACUUACUGGACCAUUUCUGACGCUGAGGCGCGAAAGCGUGGGGAUCAAACAGGAUUAGAUACCCUGGUAGUCCACGCCGUAAACGAUGAAUGCCAGCCGUUGGGGCAGCUGCUGCUCAGUGGCGGCGAGCUAACGUACUUUAACGUCACUUCCGUCCGUCGGGGUAGGGUACGGUCGGCGAAGAAGUUAAAACUUAACUAAAGUUAGUUAAGUUAGUUACGGCGUGAGACGUUGCCGAACGGACGACGACGAGGGGAGGUUAGG